AUACGAGGGGUGCAAGCGUUAAUCGGAAUUACUGGGCGUAAAGCGUUCGUAGGCGGUUAUUUAAGCAAGAUGUGAAAGCCCAGGGCUCAACCUUGGAACUGCAUUUUGAACUGGGUAACUAGAGUAUUGUAGAGGGUGGUGGAAUUUCCAGUGUAGCGGUGAAAUGCGUAGAGAUUGGAAGGAACAUCAGUGGCGAAGGCGGCCACCUGGACAAAUACUGACGCUGAGGAACGAAAGCGUGGGGAGCAAACAGGAUUAGAUACCCUAGUAGUCC
rnacentral:rRNA from 1 species